rnacentral:rRNA from 1 species
AACGAACGCUGGCGGCAUGCCUAACACAUGCAAGUCGAACGAUACCUUCGGGUCUAGUGGCGCACGGGUGCGUAACGCGUGGGAACCUGCCCUUAGGUUCGGAAUAACUCCCCGAAAGGGGUCCUAAUACCGGAUAAUGUCUUCGUACCAACGAUUUAUCGCCUUUGGAUGGGCCGGAGUUGGAUUCGCUGGUUGGUAGGGUAACAGCCUACCAAGGCGACGAUCCAUUGCUGGUCUGACAGGAGGAUCAGCAAUACGGGGACUGAGACACGGCCCGGACCCGUAGGGAAGACAGCAGUGGGGAAGAUGGGCCUAUGGGGGAAGGCCGGGUCAGGGAUGGCGGCGUGAGUGUUGAAGGCCUUGGGGUGGAAAGCUCUUUUACCCGGGAGGAUAAUGACAGUACCGAGAGAAUAAGCUCCGGCUAACUCCGUG